GGGUGAGUAAUGCGUAAGAAUCUGCCCGGUAGGGGGGGAUAACGUGGGGAAACCCACGCUAAUACCGCAUACGUCCUACGGGAGAAAGCGGAGGAUCUUCGGACUUCGCGCUAUCGGAUGAGCCUAUGUCGGAUUAUCUAGUUGGUGAGGUAACGGCUUACCAAGGCAACGAUCCGUAGCUGGUCUGAGAGGAUGAUCACCCACACUGGGACUGAGACACGGCCCAGACUCCUACGGGAGGCAGCAGUGGGGAAUAUUGGACAAUGGGCGAAAGCCUGAUCCAGCCAUGCCGCGUGUGUGAAGAAGGCUUUCGGGUUGUAAAGCACUUUCAGCGAGGAAGAAAGCCUCUGCGCCAAUCCCCCAGAGGAAGGACAUCACUCGCACAAGAAGCACCGGCUAACUCCGUGCCAGCAGCCGCGGUAAUACGGAGGGUGCGAGCGUUAAUCGGAAUUACUGGGCGUAAAGCGCGCGUAGGUGGCUUGUGACGCCGGUUGUGAAAGCCCCGGGCUCAACCUGGGAACUGCAUCCGGAACGGGCAGGCUAGAGUGCAUGAGAGGAAGGUAGAAUUCCCAGUGUACCGGUGAAAUGCGUAGAGAUCG
rnacentral:rRNA from 1 species